rnacentral:lncRNA from 1 species
AUGCAACAUCAUGCUGGACGCCCCACCUCUUUCCAAAAGGGUGAAGAAAAAUGAAAUGCAACAUUCAAGGAAUAGCCUAGGGAUGCCACCAAAAUUAUACUCCACUAAUGAGGCUCCUUGGUCCUGGCAAACAGCCGACUAGGAAUUCAUGGACUUGUCCGCAUUUUGGAUUGGACUCAGGAGCUCAGAAGUCAACACUUCUCCACAACACUUUAGGAAGGUGCAGCUGCAUCUUCAAGAACAUCUUCUCGAGUAACUUCAGAGUUAUAACACAGUCUUCAGAGAGUAAUUAGGACUGCAGAAAAAAAAACAAUUACUACCAACCUGCCUUUAAUCGAGGACCUGUAUACUACGCGAGUCAAAAAGAGGGCUGUGAAAAUAUUUACAGACCCCUCACAUCCUGGACAUAAACUGAUUCAACUCCUUCCGUCAAAAUGAUGCUACAGAGCAUUGCACACCAGGACAACUAGACCCAAGGACAGUUUUUCCCUGAAUGC